CCAAUAGCGUAUAUUAAAGUUGUUGCAGUUAAAAAGCUCGUAGUUGAAUUUCGGGACUAAUAUGUCGGUCGUACUUUGUACGUACUAGCAUUAUUGGUUUCUCCCUUCUGACGAACCACGAUGUCAUUAAUUUUGGUGUCAUGGGAAAUCAGGACUGUUACUUUGAAAAAAUUAGAGUGUUUAAAGCAAGCUCGUGCUUGAAUACAUUAGCAUGGAAUAA
rnacentral:rRNA from 1 species